GCCUAUACAUGCAAGUCGAGCGACAGACAAGGAGCUUGCUCCUUUGACGUUAGCGGCGGACGGGUGAGUAACACGUGGGUAACCUACCUAUAAGACUGGGAUAACUUCGGGAAACCGGAGCUAAUACCGGAUAAUAUUUCGAACCGCAUGGUUCGAUAGUGAAAGAUGGUUUUGCUAUCACUUAUAGAUGGACCCGCGCCGUAUUAGCUAGUUGGUAAGGUAACGGCUUACCAAGGCGACGAUACGUAGCCGACCUGAGAGGGUGAUCGGCCACACUGGAACUGAGACACGGUCCAGACUCCUACGGGAGGCAGCAGUAGGGAAUCUUCCGCAAUGGGCGAAAGCCUGACGGAGCAACGCCGCGUGAGUGAUGAAGGUCUUCGGAUCGUAAAACUCUGUUAUUAGGGAAGAACAUACGUGUAAGUAACUAUGCACGUCUUGACGGUACCUAAUCAGAAAGCCACGGCUAACUACGUGCCAGCAGCCGCGGUAAUACGUAGGUGGCAAGCGUUAUCCGGAAUUAUUGGGCGUAAAGCGCGCGUAGGCGGUUUUUUAAGUCUGAUGUGAAAGCCCACGGCUCAACCGUGGAGGGUCAUUGGAAACUGGAAAACUUGAGUGCAGAAGAGGAAAGUGGAAUUCCAUGUGUAGCGGUGAAAUGCGCAGAGAUAUGGAGGAACACCAGUGGCGAAGGCGACUUUCUGGUCUGUAACUGACGCUGAUGUGCGAAAGCGUGGGGAUCAAACAGGAUUAGAUACCCUGGUAGUCCACGCCGUAAACGAUGAGUGCUAAGUGUUAGGGGGUUUCCGCCCCUUAGUGCUGCAGCUAACGCAUUAAGCACUCCGCCUGGGGAGUACGACCGCAAGGUUGAAACUCAAAGGAAUUGACGGGGACCCGCACAAGCGGUGGAGCAUGUGGUUUAAUUCGAAGCAACGCGAAGAACCUUACCAAAUCUUGACAUCCUUUGACAACUCUAGAGAUAGAGCCUUCCCCUUCGGGGGACAAAGUGACAGGUGGUGCAUGGUUGUCGUCAGCUCGUGUCGUGAGAUGUUGGGUUAAGUCCCGCAACGAGCGCAACCCUUAAGCUUAGUUGCCAUCAUUAAGUUGGGCACUCUAAGUUGACUGCCGGUGACAAACCGGAGGAAGGUGGGGAUGACGUCAAAUCAUCAUGCCCCUUAUGAUUUGGGCUACACACGUGCUACAAUGGACAAUACAAAGGGCAGCGAAACCGCGAGGUCAAGCAAAUCCCAUAAAGUUGUUCUCAGUUCGGAUUGUAGUCUGCAACUCGACUACAUGAAGCUGGAAUCGCUAGUAAUCGUAGAUCAGCAUGCUACGGUGAAUACGUUCCCGGGUCUUGUACACACCGCCCGUCACACCACGAGAGUUUGUAACACCCGAAGCCGGUGGAGUAACCAUUGGAGCUAGCCGUCGAAAG
rnacentral:rRNA from 1 species